rnacentral:rRNA from 1 species
AUUGAACGCUGGCGGCAGGCCUAACACAUGCGAGUCGAGCGGAUGAAGGGAGCUUGCUCCUGGAUUCAGCGGCGGACGGGUGAGUAAUGCCUAGGAAUCUGCCUGGUAGUGGGGGAUAACGUCCGGAAACGGGCGCUAAUACAGCAUACGUCCUGAGGGAGAAAGUGGGGGAUCUUCGGACCUCACGCUAUCAGAUGAGCCUAGGUCGGAUUAGCUAGUUGGUGGGGUAAAGGCCUACCAAGGCGACGAUCCGUAACUGGUCUGAGAGGAUGAUCAGUCACACUGGAACUGAGACACGGUCCAGACUCCUACGGGAGGCAGCAGUGGGGAAUAUUGGACAAUGGGCGAAAGCCUGAUCCAGCCAUGCCGCGUGUGUGAAGAAGGUCUUCGGAUUGUAAAGCACUUUAAGUUGGGAGGAAGGGCAGUAAGUUAAUACCUUGCUGUUUUGACGUUACCAACAGAAUAAGCACCGGCUAACUUCGUG